GUUUCCUGAGGAGUUAAGUAGGGAAAUGCUUUAUUUGUAUUACAAUAGUACCCAAAUGCAAGGGCUCUAUUACAUUAGUCACAGUUAGAAAAAAUGGUCCCUGCCAAGACAUUCUCCAGGAUAAGUAGGAAUUUGCUGCAAUUACUUGACUCCUAGACCUGUAGAUGACUAAGGGACCUCUUCCAAUAUGUAGACUACAAAUCCUAGAGAUACCUGGAAGCAGAAAGAAGUAAUGAGCAACCCUGCAGAAUCCUGCUGCUGUAAUUCUGGACUGCGAAUCCCAGAGACCUCAGGGGCAGCAGGAAGAGGAAGUGAAUACACAGUCAAUGAUGGCUACAUGCCAGAGAGACAUGCUGUAGCGCCCCGAGGCUUCUGGUCUGAGUCACUGCAGGCUUGUGGCUGCAUUACCUGAA